AUGACUACCUUCACCUCUCAUCUCUAUCGUUCACCUUUCCGUCUCCGUUCCUCUCUUCUCCGUCUUCCAGUUUGUUCAACCUUUUCCUUCUCCUCAUCUCCGAUCUCUAACCCUCUUAGUGACUCAAUCUUCCCUCUCUGUUCGACUUCUCUUCCCGCUCUUUCCAAAUACUCAUUUUCUCCAAUUCCAUUUUUAAUCUCCUCAAAUAUAAAGAAAACUAACGAAACCCUAGGAGUUUCAAUCUGCAAUUAA